GACGAACGCUGGCGGCGUGCUUAACACAUGCCAGUCGAACGGAAAGGCCCUGCUUUUGUGGGGUGCUCGAGUGGCGAACGGGUGAGUAACACGUGAGUAACCUGCCCUUGACUUUGGGAUAACUUCAGGAAACUGGGGCUAAUACCGGAUAGGAGCUCCUGCUGCAUGGUGGGGGUUGGAAAGUUUCGGCGGUUGGGGAUGGACUCGCGGCUUAUCAGCUUGUUGGUGGGGUAGCGGCUUACCAAGGCUUUGACGGGUAGCCGGCCUGAGAGGGUGACCGGCCACAUUGGGACUGAGAUACGGCCCAGACUCCUACGGGAGGCAGCAGUGGGGAAUAUUGCACAAUGGGAGGAAGCCUGAUGCAGCAACGCCGCGUGCGGGAUGACGGCCUUCGGGUUGUAAACCGCUGUCGCCUGUGACGAAGCGUGAGUGACGGUAAUGGGUAAAGAAGCACCGGCUAACUACGUG
rnacentral:rRNA from 1 species